rnacentral:lncRNA from 1 species
GAUUUCACACUUGUACCGGGCCUCUCUCCUUCUCUCUCUCCCCUUCUCUCCAUCAUUUUUCUUUCGUUUAUUUCUUCCUUUCUCCAAUGUCCUUCCUUUCUUUAAUCAGAUUGAGGUCUUUGGCAGGCUAUUUUGCCAGAGUCCUUCAGGGGACAGCGAGGCCCUGUCCUCACGGAGCAGAGUGGGCAGUGCGGCCACGUGCUGGGCUGUGAACUGUUCUUGGCACCUACUGUGGGGACCAGCAGAGACCCCAGUCCCCAGAGGCUCCAUAUGGGCCUGUUCUGCCUCCAAGUUUAUGUGGGCAGGAUGCUGGGAUCAUGACAGCCUGGCCUUUUCUCCUCAUGCCAGUCUAGUUUUAUUGGUGGGAGAGGAGAGUGUGUGUGUGUGUGUGUGUGUGUGUGUGUGUGUGUGUGUGUGUGUGUGUGUGUUGGGGAAGGGGUGGUGAGCAAGGUCAGAGGAAAAUAAGUCAAUGGGGUCAUCAUUCAUGCAGAACACUUUUUCAACUUAAAUAUUAAUUUUAUCAGAUUUGUCUAAGAUGACAGAGUUUUUGUUUGGGUGAAAGGAGGUUUCAUAUUUCCUAGAUUCAUAAUCCACUUAGGAAAAAGGAGGGGGGAUGCACGGAGUUAGCACAUAUUAAGUGCCUGCUGUAGUCAAGCCCUGUUGGACACCAGGGACAUCUGGACCUUGACAACGGAGCGAAGGGGUGGUCCUGCCUGCACCAGGUUUCAGGUGAGGAGAUUGAGGCCCACAGAGAUCCGGGACUGGCCUCACUUAGCUGACUGUGGGUUCUCUCAACAGGGUGAACAUGAAAAAUAGAAGCCUCCAGUUUCUCCUGAUAGUGUAUAGAUGGGCAGAUCUGGCCUCAAUGGCAGAAGAUACUUGGGGAACUGGAGAAAGUACAGAAGGUGAUGUGAAAUCAAUUGGGUCAUCAAAAGAAGACGGGUGUACCACAAUUUGUUCCUCCACCUGCUGCCCAUGAACAUUUGGAGGGUUUCUAGUUUUUGGCUAUUACAAAUAAAGUUGUCAUGAACAUUUGCAUACAAAU